UACGGAGGGAGCUAGCGUUAUUCGGAAUUACUGGGCGUAAAGCGUACGUAGGCGGCUUUGUAAGUUAGAGGUGAAAGCCUGGAGCUCAACUCCAGAACUGCCUUAAAACUGCAUCGCUUGAAUCCAGGAGAGGUGAGUGGAAUUCCGAGUGUAGAGGUGAAAUUCGUAGAUAUUCGGAAGAACACCAGUGGCGAAGGCGACUUACUGGGACACAUAUUUGACGCUGAGGUGCGAA
rnacentral:rRNA from 1 species